CGCAAGGUUGCUAUGGCUGGCCGGCGGCCGCCGCGCUGGCGUUGCGGCGGAUCGGCCUGGGUCAGGCCCAGGCUUUGCGG
rnacentral:tRNA from 1 species